AGUUCUUUGCUGGAACUAGAGGAGUGUGGAUGGUGUGCCAGGCUGGCUAAGGGAGCUAUAGGACACUGCUGGCUGAGACCAGCGGGAGUGAGAAAGAGCUCCAGGCUGGCAGCUGGGACUCAAUCAGUACAAGGCUUCGAGGCAAGGUUGAAGAAUAUACUGGGGCCAUGGGGAAGUGGCCCAGGGAAUCAUAACAGCAAUGCAACUUAAUUAAAGGGACUUGGUGGAUUGCUGGUAUCUUUAGGGUCCCUGUACUCGAAUCCAGAGCAGAAGGUGGGCCUAGGUCCUCCCCACCAGCCACUGAUGAAAUGGUCUGGACUUUGAUUCACCCCCGGAAGGGGAACUGAACUAUUUAGCAGCCCAGCUGGAGAGCUAGGGCCAGAAAGGCCCAGAGAGACAAAGACUAACCAAGGAGAGAGCCCUGAGGGCAUGGGCCCACACCGGGGCCGGGACUGCUUGAAGAGCGGGGACAAUUUGAGAGAGCCCAGAAGGGGCUGAGGGACAGUCUGAAUCAAGGUUUGCACUGGCUCCAAUGCUCUUCCACCAGGCUUGUCGCUUUCCCGCUGCAUUGUCAGCGCAUCGUUCAAGGUGUUCGGGGAGCCAAGUGAGGGGACAGAAGAAGAUACCUCUCCUGUAGUUUAAGUCUCCCAACGUUACUUCCACUCAAUUCUGUGGAUAUAACCUAACGAACAUCUCUGCAAGCAAGAAAAGAACAUGCCCCUACAUGUAGGCUGCACUAUACCAAAUAAUCAUCAUAAAUAAUUAGCA